AGGUCGGGAACUCAAAGGAGACUGCCAGUGAUAAACUGGAGGAAGGUGGGGAUGACGUCAAGUCAUCAUGGCCCUUACGACCAGGGCUACACACGUGCUACAAUGGCGCAUACAAAGAGAAGCGACCUCGCGAGAGCAAGCGGACCUCAUAAAGUGCGUCGUAGUCCGGAUUGGAGUCUGCAACUCGACUCCAUGAAGUCGGAAUCGCUAGUAAUCGUGGAUCAGAAUGCCACGGUGAAUACGUUCCCGGGCCUUGUACACACCGCCCGUCACACCAUGGGAGUGGGUUGCAAAAGAAGUAGGUAGCUUAACCUUCGGGAGGGCGCUUACCACUUUGUGAUUCAUGACUGGGGUGAAGUCGUAACAAGGUAACCGUAGGGGAACCUGCGGUUGGAUCACCUCCUUACCUUAAAGAA
rnacentral:rRNA from 1 species